rnacentral:sRNA from 1 species
CUGUUGUGGGCAAAUGAAAUGGAUAUGAGCAUCUAGGGCACCAGCAGUGGUUAUGAAUCCUUCUCCUGCAAUGGCUUCUGUUCCAGGGCCGAUAAUGAUGUCAACAUCAGAUUGUAUGUCAGGGUUCCCGGCUUUUCCAAUUCCGACAAUCCGACCGGAUUUAAUUCCAAUGUCAGCCUUGACGAUGCCCCAAUGAUCGAGUAUCAAAGCAUUUGUAAUUACAACAUCCACCGAUUCUUUAGAAGUUCUCUGGCUCUGUCCCAUCCCAUCCC